CCUACGGGAGGCAGCAGUGGGGGAUAUUGCACAAUGGGCGAGACCCUGAUGCAGCGAAGCAGCGUGGGUGAAGGAGUGCUUCGGCAUGUAAAGCCCUAUCGACAGGGAAGUAGCAAGAAGGUAGCUGACUAAGAAGCACCGGCUAACUACGUGCCAGCAGCCGCGGUACUACGUAGGGGGCGAGCUGUAUCCGGAUUCCCUGGGUUUAACGGGAGCGUAGACGGCCAUGCAAGCCAGGUGUGAAAGCCCGGGGCCCAACCCCGAGACUGCCGUUGAAACUGUGCGGCUAGAGUGCGGGAGGGGCAGGCGGAAUUCGUGGUGUAGCGGUGAAAUGCGUAGAUAUCAGGAGGAACACCGGCUGCGAAGGCAGCCUGCUGGACUGCGACUGACGUUGAGGCUCGAAAGCGUGGGUAGCGAACAGGAUUAGAUACCCGAGUAGUC
rnacentral:rRNA from 1 species